UGGAGGCAAAUAACUUUCAUUCCCUCUCAAUUUCUCUCGAUCUCUCUCUCAAUAUCGAGACCCAGCCCUCAAUUGUUUGAUCUGGAAACCGUCUUCUCCAUUAUUUCAAGAAUAAAAUAAAAGCAUAUUCAGAGACGAUUUCCUCUCCAAGCAAACACUCACUUGAAGGUGAUAGUGUUGCAAAAGUACUUGGUCCAGAACGUCCAGGACGGGUAAGAGGUCAUGGUUUCGGUGCGACUCCUUCAAAGUUGAAUGCUUUGGUGCACAAUCAUAACUUGCAAACUCAAGUUCAAGAGUUGAGGGAUGAAAUUAAAGAACUAAAAGCUUUGUUUCAAGUGAAGAGUAAAAGUGCUGAACAAGAAGAUAAUUCUAGAGACAGAAGCUUGAAUGGUUUAGAUAACCUUCAAAAUAAGAAGUGCAAAUUGUUAUCUUGGUUUAGGAAAGCUAAUAUUGUUGCAAAAGGUGAAAUUGCAUCAACAAAUUCAAAUGAUCUACUGCAUCAUGUACCCCUUGGUAAUGAAUGUUGGAGAGUUUGGGUUAAUGAAGUGAUCAAUAAUGUUAGCUUAUAUCGUCCCACGCGUGAGCUUUUUCUUCUAGAAGAUGCAUUAGGAAGUACAAUUGCAUGGCCAAGUAGAUAUAUCGAAGUGGAUUCGCUGUAAUCACAACGAAGAGGAUCCAUAUUUUGUGGGGUAGCUAAAUUGUCGGUCAAAGAAGUGAACUUUGAUAGGUUUAAUAAUUUUUUGUUAUAUGACGGAACCUCAAUAUCCACGGGUUUAUUAGUUGAAUGGCGAUUGGCGCAUACAAUAGUAGUCGAAUAUUUUUUAAAAUUGUUUAGAUGAAUUUUACAUUGGCAUAUUGUAUUGAACCGUAGUCAAUAUUUCUUUUUAUCGAAAUAAUGGAAAACUUGAUUAUAUA